GAAUAAUCAACUAUGUCCGAAAAUUUUCAUAUAUAAACACCUAUUUAAAUAAAAAAUUGUCAUUAAUUAUUCAAAAUAUAACAUUUAAGUAAAAAGAAGCAAGGUAAAAAUGGAGAACUGGCAACUAAUAUAUUUUUUUAUGACAAAUUUCUGUUUGAUAUUUAACGAAGAAAUUUCCAUACAUAAAGCGUAG